rnacentral:rRNA from 1 species
ACGAAGGGUGCAAGCGUUACUCGGAAUUACUGGGCGUAAAGGGUGCGUAGGUGGUUUUUUAAGUCUGCUGUGAAAUCCCCGGGCUCAACCUGGGAACUGCCUUUGUGACUGCAAGGCUGGAGUGCGGCAGAGGGGGAUGGAAUUCCGCGUGUAGCAGUGAAAUGCGUAGAUAUGCGGAGGAACACCGAUAGCGAAGGCAAUCCCCUGGGCCUGCACUGACGCUCAUGCACGAAAGCGUGGGGAGCAAACAGGA